rnacentral:lncRNA from 1 species
AUUCCACCGGAGCCAGAGGCAGAUUCCAAAGUUCUGUAUUUUUCAAAAUAAAGAUCACACGUUGUUUAGAGACAAUCUACACAAGAGUUACAAAAAAUAGUCGCCCAGGCAGAAGCAUACACAGGUUUGUUAAUUAUACACAUAUGGUUACAAGUGUGCUUGCAAAAAAGUUCAUUGGAAAUAUACACAAGGCUCUGUAAAUGUACACCGUGUAGUGUUACAAUUCUAUAUUCAAACGAGGAAAAUUGACAGUAUGUUACAUUCACUUACAAGUAGACAAAAUGCAAAAUACAGUUCAUCUUCUGUACAAAAAAGGGGGGAGGUGAUUCACACUUUACAAGGUGAAAAGGGGCUCUGAUUGUAAGGAAAAACGGGAGGGGGCUGUACUUUUGCACUUUUUGUUUCUUACUGUCACAAAAGAAGCAAAACAUUACUUUGUAAGAUUCAAAAAAACACUAUUUGGAACUGAAUCAGGUCUGUAGAACAUUUAGAAAGGAUCUCUACUGUCCAACUAGGUGACAAAUAAAACCAAGCAGUUUAUUUUUCUUCCUUUUUUUUUUUUUUUGUUUUGUUUUUAAACAUUAACUAGGCUGUAUAAAGAGAACAUUUCCUUCAAAAGAAAAAAUUUACUUCUGGUUGAAAUUACAAUUUACAAUAUACAACACUAUAUGCUACGACCAUAAAAGGUGUGAAUAUACACUGAAAUGCACAGGUUUUGCUAAAUUCUUUUUUUUUUCCUGUUUUCUUACCAAAAAACGGGUUUUAUGUCGAUUCAAACUUCUCCACAUUUACAUUACAGAGGUUUACAAAUGUACAAUUGUACAGUCAGAAGUAUGUUCCACUACUAGGGUACAUUAUAGAUACAGAUCAGACAUCAAAACAAGAAAAUACUACAAAUUUUUAUAUAUGUAAAGUCUACACCAAGUAUACACUAUAUAUUUAUAGAAGCAAGACCAAAGCCGAGUUGGAUUUUUUUUUUUUUGUUUUGUUUUUUUUUUUUUUUUUGUGGGUUUUGUUUGUUUGUGGUUUUGUUGUUUAUUCUUUUAGCAACCGUGGCGGGUGGUGUGGGUGGAUCCUGGGGUGGAUCCUGGGGUGGAUUCUGGGGUGGAUCCCAGCGAUGGAUUCCUGGGAUGGAUUCUGGGGUGGAUCCCUGGAAUGGAUCCUGGGGUGGAUUUUGGGAUGGAUUCCUGGGAUGGAUUCCUGGGGUGGAUUCCUGGGGUGGAUUCCUGGGGUGGGUUCCAGGGGUGGAUUCCUGGGAAGGAUCCCUGGGAUGGAUCCCAGCAAUGGAUUCUGGGAUGGAUUUCAGGGGUGGAUUCUGGG